ACAAUGAUCUAGAUGAAAAAAUCAAAAUAUUGACAUAUGGUGAUUAUAUGAUUUAUGAUAGAGAUGAUGUGAUUUAUAUUGGCUAUAAUGAUCGUAUUUGGUCAUACUGAAGAAAACUGUGAUGACGAGCAGACGUUUUAGUGAGUUCAAUGAUGGCCUUAGUGUUAAUUUCAGUGUUUUCUCGUUU
rnacentral:lncRNA from 1 species